UAAGUAGGCGGCAAGCGUUGUCCGGAAUUAUUGGGCGUAAAGCGCGCGCAGGCGGUCCUUUAAGUCUGAUGUGAAAGCCCACGGCUUAACCGUGGAGGGUCAUUGGAAACUGGAGGACUUGGGUACAGAAGAGGAGAGUGGAAUUCCAUGUGUAGCGGUGAAAUGCGUAGAGAUGUGGAGGAACACCAGUGGCGAAGGCGACUCUCUGGUCUGUAACUGACGCUGAGGCGCGAAAGCGUGGGGAGCGAACAGG
rnacentral:misc_RNA from 1 species